AUGUUCCUCAUCCUCAUCUUCAUUGUCCUCCCUGGCCUCAUCCUCGUUGUCCUCUCCAUUCUCAUCCUCCUUGUGUUCCCCAUCCUUGUCCUCCUUGUCCUCUCCAUUCUCAUCUUCCUCAUGUUCCUCAUCCUCAUCCUCAUUGUCCUCCCUGGCCUCAUCCUUGUUGCCCUCUCCAUCCUCAUCCUCCUUGGCCUCCCUGGCCUCAUCCUCGUUGUCCUCUCCAUCCUCGUCCUCCUUGUGUUCCUCAUCCUCAUCAACCUUCUUGGCCUCAUCUUCAUUGUCCUCUCCUUCCUCAUCCUCCUUGUGUUCCCCAUCAUUUUCCUCAUCGUCCUCCUUGGCCUCGGCCUCAUUGUCCUCCCCAUCCUCAUCCUCAUUAUCCUUCCCAUUCUCAUUCUCACCAUCUUCUCCAUCCUCAUCCUCAUUGACCUCCCCGGCCUCAUCCUCGUCGCCCUCCCCAGCCUCAUCUUCGCCCUCCCCACCCUUACCACCUUCCUCCCCAUCUUCACCAUCAUCCUCAUUCACUUCUCAGCCUCCUUUUACUCCUCCUCAACCUCAUCUUCAUCAUCCUCCCUCUCAGCCUCCUUUCCGCCACCAUCCUCAGCAUCUUCCUCGUUCUUCUCGGCCUCCUCCUCUUCAUCAGCCUCCUUUUUAACCUCCUUUUCUCAUUUUUUUUCGAUUCUCAGUCUCAUCCUUUCCACCGCCAUCCUUCUUUUCGAUCUGCUCAGCGCCGUCACCACCACCAUUCUCACCGUCCUUCAUUUCCUCAGCUUCCUCCUCCUUUCCGUCAUCAUCUUCAUCGCCUUUCUUCCUCCCGAGCUCUCCCUCAUCAUCCUCCCUGUCAGCGCUCUCUUUUCCCGUCUUGUGAUCGUUCUUCAUCAUUUUCUCGUUGCCUUCGUUAGGUUCUCGUUACAUUUUUAUUCAUCAUUUUCCCGUUCUUCCGUAAUUUCUCUUCUUCAUCCAUUUCGCAAUCAGCCUUGUCCCCAUUUUCCCGCUCUUCCUCUUCCUCCUCUUCCUCCUCCUCCUCCUUCUUCUUCUUCCCCUCCUCCUCAUCAUCAUUUUUCUGCUUUUCUCCUGUUCCCGGUUGUCCUUUUCCCCCUCCUUCCUUCCUUGUUCUCAUCGUUCUCAUCUUCAUCUUCCUCAUUGUCCUCCUCCUCUUCCUCCUCCUGGGACCCCAAGACUUUGGUGGGCCCUGACCCCAAUUAA
rnacentral:lncRNA from 1 species